GAUAUUUCUUCUUGUGUUUUUAGGAUGGCUUUAAAACCAACCCAGCUUGCAAACUAAAUUACUGGACCAUUCAUGGAUUGUGGCCUCAUAAUGUGGAAGGCAUUGAUGGAGCACCUAUACCAGCGGAUGUACUUAAGAAACAUGAGGAAAGUCUGAAAACUACCUGGACAUAUCUGGGAGCUGCCAACAGUGCAAAUUACUUGACUAAAGCAAAAGAGUUUUUGAACCAUGAAUGGCUCAAGCAUGGGUUGUGUGCCAUAGGAUUUAAAAAAAUCAAUAAUGCAGAUACAUACAUCUCGACAACUUUAGCUUUGCACGAACAAAAUAAUAUAAACCGAUUAUUGCAAAGCAAAGGUAUCCUGCCUAACAACAAUGUAGCAUAUGACAAGAAAACUUUCAAAUCCAAACUUAAACCAGAACUUAACCUGCUGUGUAGAAAACAGGGUAAUGUCCAGUAUUUGGCAGAGAUUCACAUCUGUGUUACAAAGUCUGGCCAACUAACCUAUUGCCCUGUUACCGAUAACUGUGGAGACAAAUUCUUCUAUCCAUCUAUAUAAAAAAGAAAAGAUGAUGAUUUAUCGCUAAUUUGAAAUGUUUCACUAUUAGCAGCUUUAGCAAACCUACAUAACAAAGAAAUCCUUAGCACCCUGCUAUAUUUUCUACAGAAUCAUUUUUCCAAGAAACCACAUUAUUAUAUGGCAUAAAUACAUAUCUGACCAUGGACUGUCAACUAUCAGUAUGGAAGUAAAUGUUGAUGACAUGAAUAAAAAAAAUAAAUUCUGAACUACA